UGGGGAAUAUUGCACAAUGGGCGGAAGCCUGAUGCAGCGACGCCGCGUGGGGGAUGAAGGCCUUCGGGUUGUAAACUCCUUUCGACAGGGACGAAGCUUUUGUGACGGUACCUGUAUAAGAAGCACCGGCUAACUACGUGCCAGCAGCCGCGGUAAUACGUAGGGUGCGAGCGUUGUCUGGAAUUACUGGGCGUAAAGAGCUCGUAGGUGGUUUGUCGCGUCGUCUGUGAAAUUCCGGGGCUUAACUCCGGGCGUGCAGGCGAUACGGGCUGACUUGAGUGCUGUAGGGGAGACUGGAAUUCCUGGUGUAGCGGUGAAAUGCGCAGAUAUCAGGAGGAACACCGAUGGCGAAGGCAGGUCUCUGGGCAGUAACUGACGCUGAGGAGCGAAAGCAUGGGUAGCGAACAGG
rnacentral:rRNA from 1 species